GGAUCCUUAGCUCAGUUGGUAGAGCAACGGACUCUUAAUCCGUGGGUCGAGGGUUCGAGCCCCUCAGGAUCCA
rnacentral:tRNA from 8 species